AACUCUUCUGGGUGUCCAAGGUUGCCCUUGGAGGAGCAAGAUCCUGGUUAACACACUCAUUCCCUUCACUGGGUGACUCUCAGCAUGUUUGACUUAUCUGCGUUUUAGAUUUUGUUACAGACUAUGGCCUCAGCGAAUUGCACCAACCUGCCCUUCCCUCUUGGAGACUCUGUAGUUUUUACGUAGUAAACCCUCUCAUGACUUUGGUUACCAAGAUGCCUGUUGUUUCCAUGUCUACAAGUCCUGUUUUCCAAACUGGCUGUCCUCAGGCUGGCAAGAGUGAGCUGACUCAACUCCAGAAACAUUCAAACUUCCUGCAAGAUUAGAUGGCUGGGAGCACUCCCACAGACCCUCGGCAGUGUUCUUUGUUAAGGUCAAGGUUUCUGCUUUCUCUACAAAUAGGAUGAUUUUCGAUAAUUCUGCCUCUGAAACACAGCAUCCAUUGGCAGUUUUUCUACAGCUACUUACAGCUAACAGGCCCGUUUUCUUUCCUUUAAUGCUCUGACCUCCGGCUGCGUUGCUGGUGAUCCUAGUUUCCCGAAGUUUUACCUGUUCUAGAUGAGCACCUGACUUUGAACUACCGUGGCCGUGCUUGCAUUUGAUGGUGAAGACUGAGAAAAGCAAGAUGAACUCUGAAGCAUUCUUGGAGGAAAUCAGAUCGGAUAGUGUAACUCCAACGUAACUGGACUAUUCUUGGUUAUCUCACAGAUACCCGUGUGGCCAGACGUCUCCAUGUGCUGGGACAAAUUUGUGUCCAGAAAUCAGCCAGGGUUGUGUGACUUGAUGGGACUGUCUUCUUUUGGAUCUCAAAGAUUUUGCUUAACAGGUACGAUGGUUUGGAUGUGCCUCCAAAGUUCAUGUGUUGGAAAAUUAAAGCCCCAGAGCGACGGUGUUGACAGACGGGACCCGCAGGAAGUGAUGAGCAAGUGCUCUCCCCUCGUGGAUGAAUGAAGGCCUUGACUGCACGGAGGGGCUCCUGAGAAGAGGAUGUUUGGCUCCUUUUCUCUCUCUUACGUGUGCAUGUGCUCUCUUGCCCUUCUGCCUUCUGCCAUGGGGCAGCACAGCAAGAAGACCCUCAGCAGAUGAGAGCCCCUCAACUGUGGGCUGCCCAGCCUCAAAACGGUGAAAUACUUGUCUGUGCCAGAAGGUUGUACUCUACCCCAUAAAAAUGACCAAAUAAG